GAAGAUGGAGAGAUCAUCCUUAUAUAAUGUUGCAGUCUGGAAGCAUCACUCUCAAAAAGAGGUUUUGAUAGACUAGAAAAAUGACAAGACUCCAAGUCCUUGAAGAGGAGGAAAAGUGUGAAGAAAACAAAAAAGGGAGAUUUAUGUCUGCUUCACCAUUUUGCCCAAGACUUGACCUGUCAUACACUGAAGCUCAGAGAGGAAGAAAGGACCGUGUGAGAGAAGAAGGGAACAGCCUUUCAUCCAUAGGAGAAGUUCGUCUAUGACAAAGCCACUAGCUCCAUGUGGCCGCUGAGCACUCAAAAUGUGGCCAGUCUGAAUUGAGAUAUGUUGUUAGUAUAAAGUCCACAUCGGCUUUUUGAGCACUUUGUAUGAGAAAAAAGAAUACCAAAUAUCUCCUUAAUAAUUGUUACAUUGAUUAUAUGUUGAACUGAUAACAUUAUGGAUAUAUUGGAUUAAAUAAAAUAAAUUAUUAAAAUCAAAUAAAAAAUAAAAUCAAUUUCACCUGUUU
rnacentral:lncRNA from 1 species